UUCUUAUGCUGGGUUUUGGGAUCUUCGUGUGUGUGUGUGUGUGUGUGUGUGUGUGUGUGUGUGUUGGGAAUCUUCCAGAGAGCUUUCUCAGCUCAUUGAUCAUGAAGGGAGCUCUCUCCAGGCCUAACCUUGCAUUUGGUUAAGUGUGAGCUGGUAAACUUGAUAAGCAAAUUGGAGGGAAAUUUACAGCAUCAUCUCAUUAGAAGGUCAAGGGCCUUGAUCUCGCUCUUACUGGGUCCCAGAGCUCCAUCAGAAACCCCAGAGAGGAAGGCAAAGGUGGCCUCGUGCAGAGCCUUCUAAUUCUUUGGUUCCAACUGAACUCAUAUCGCAGAGAGAGACUUUUCAGUGAGAAGCUCUCACGUUGCCUCUCAGCUCUUACCACUGGCUAAUUACCAAGGCCGCUGUUCCCAAAUCUAACUAGCUUCGCUGGAGCACAGUCUCUCCAGCUUGGGCCGAUCUAUACGUAGCCUGCCUGCUGCCUCCACACCCACACCCACCGCAGCCGCAGAGCUCCUGGGCCAUCACUGUGGUCCAUUUCCUCCAACAUCGACUGCCAUCCGAGCUCUUCCCCCAAACCCGAAAGUGGGAUCCUAGUUCUGGUUUCUCUCGCAAGCAGGCCCGUGGUUAAAGGCAGGUGAAGUCUGGAAGACUUGAGAGAUCAUAAACUCAAUGGCUAGCGGAGCCAGGCAGGUGGAUUCUUUAUUGCUAAGCCACCAGGGAAGUCUCAUCAUGGAAAUAAAAACCCUUUAUUAUCAUUAAAGGAAGAGCAAAAGAGAAGGAGGGAAGCCAUCUCCUCUUUUCUGGCCCUGGAAAGCUGAUGGUUUUCUCCUCCUGAUCAGUUCUGCAUCGGCGCAGUGGAUGACUUCCCGUGAGACCUGAGCAUCCCUUCAAGUCUGUCCUUCCCUGGGUUAUCACGUGGCCAGCACCGAAGAUGCCUGUGGUCUAAGAACUGUGGGAAGCACCCCCUCCUUCCCUCAAUGCCCUCUGCCCCGCUUCCCAUCGGCAGGAGGAGAAGCAGAGACCAGUGUGAGCAAACCACGCUGACCGCCUCACUCCCCCCAAGGGCACCUGGGAGUGAUGCCAGCCCCGGGAAGAAAUUGCCAAUAAAGAUCUGAGGUGCUGAUAAGGAGGUGUCAAUGCAUUAACCUCCCCCAAAGGGAAGAAAAAUUUUUUUCAAUUACUGGUAGCGGGAAACAAAAUAGUGAGAAAUCACAAAUGACAAUCUUUUUAAGACAGCCCUGGGGCCACUUUCAGUUGACCCCAUGCAUUAACCUGGCGGGGAAAUUUUUUACUCGUGGCUCCCUCCUGUGUCCUUAAUAGCAUAAAAUAAAAAGAUUUUAGAUAAGAUUUCAUUCUGUGAAUCAAUUGGCAAACCACACUAGGCUUCCCGGGGCAUUCUGGCCUCAAUCUAAUGGAAAUUAGUAUUUUUUAAAUGAGAAUAUCGAUACUGAAUUGGAUCCCAUAGCAGAAAGUCUAUACAGAGGAUUUCAUUUCAACUGGAAGUCUCCGGCUUCUUCUGAGCUUUGCUUAACCCAGUAUCUGUUAGUGUCUCAAGUGAAGGAUGAGAAAACAAAAUCCGGAAUCCUUGUUAUUGUUAAGUUCUGGCUGCUCACUAGUUUUCCACACUGGUCUUUGUUCUGUUCCUCAAACUGACCGAGGACAGCCCCCGGUCCUGAGGGCUUACAGUUGCCUCUGCAAGGCUUUCUCCCAUUGUCCUCCUCUGGCUUUCUCCUUCUCAGUCCUGAACUUCAAAAAUCACCUGCUUGGGAAGCUGGGCUUAACCACAGCCUUCUCCCAUUAUCCCCCCUCUCAGGUCCUUCAUAACUUGUCAUCAAAGAUAAUUACAUUAAAAUGCAUUUAGUGUUUCUUUUUCUUCUGCAGAGAUGGGGCACAUAGAUGGGCGGUCAUCCUUGGGUAUCCUUGGGGGACUGGUUCCAGGACUCGCUGUGGAUACCAAAAUCCCCAGAUGCUUAAGUCCCAGAGUCAGUUCUCCAUAUCCACAGUUCCGCAUCCACGGGUUCAACCACCUUUGGACGGUAGAUUAGGUUUGCUCCCUGCGUUUGGCUGAACUUGCAGACGCGGAACCCGUGGGAUAUGGAGGGCUGACAGUGUUCAUUUCAACCACCGUUUUCAUGGUGGUCAGUUGUUCUAAUCAAUAAUUCACUCUCUGUGGGUGAUCCCCUAGCAAGGCAUCAGAGAGACCACACUCCAGAGGCAAUGACUUUGAUGUUUGGUCAAUACCAGAGACUUCACUAAUUGAUACAAUGAACGUUAGACAUAAAUGGCAGUGGUGAAAGUCGUGGCUGAUGAUUAACAAAGUGGAUGUUAGAAUGUGUUCUCUUCAGUGACUUCAGUGCUACUCAAGGGAAGGAGGUGGCAGAAAAUAUUUUACAGCAGCUCCCUGCACUUGCACGAACAGGGUUUAAUGAUCUAGGGCUGUGCUGUCUGAUACAAUAGCUACAAUUUCAACUUCAUUGUAAACUAACCCAAGUUUAAAUAAAAUCGAAAAUUCAGUUCAAUUCAGUCACAUCAGCUUGAAUUUCAAGUGCUCAAUAGCCAUGUGCCUGGGGGCUGAUGUCCUGGACAGAACCGAUUCAUUUGUUGUAAGUGCUAUUGGACAGAGCUGAUCUAGGGAGUGGUACCCUUGGCUAUCGUAGGUCAGAUCCCUGAGUGACUUUGGUUCUGACCCCUGUGGAUGUCAGACAAAUCCUGCUGCUGGAAUAUUGCUGCCUUUGCCCCACUGUGAACCUUUUGUGCAAAGUGUUUUCUGAGCCUCAGAGAGGACAAGGAUCCAGCAGUCCAUUAAGCUUCCAGGUCGGCCUGUGAGGCUAUUUUCUGCUGCCUGUUGAUAAGUAACAAUUUGUGUAAAAUGGAUGUGGUCUGAGAUUUGCUUUCAUCAAAACCAGGAUGCCCACUGUCAGCUGUUCCAUUUAUUCUCAUAGUCAGUUGAUAAAGAUUUAUUGAACACCUACUAUGUGCCAGACACCUUUCUGGGUGCUGGAGGCACAGCAGAGAAUCACAGUUAAGUCCUUCCUCUCGUGCGGAUUAUAUUUUGGGUACUGUGUGGGGUGGAAUAGACAACAAGGAAACCUACAAAUGAACACCAUCUUGCUGGCUGGCAAUAACAUCUUGAGGACAAUCCGACAGCGUGAUGCUGUACACGCUGGCUUGGCAGGGCAGGUGUGGAGAGGGUAUUUAGUGGGGCACAUAGAGCAUCACAGCAAAAUUGCUCUUCUCCACGCUGGAUUUCCUCCGUUUCCAGGCUCUCUGCUCUCCCCUGGACUCCCAGGCUCCCAGACAUCCACUCUGGAAGGAAAGUGGAAGUUCCUUUACCCUGAAAUGCAUGUGUGCUAAGUUAUUUCAGUCGUGUCCAACUCUGUGCGACCCCAUGGACAGUAACCUGC
ensembl:lncRNA